GACGAACGCUGGCGGCGUGCCUAAUACAUGCAAGUAGAACGCUGAAGGAGGAGCUUGCUUCUCCGGAUGAGUUGCGAACGGGUGAGUAACGCGUAGGUAACCUGCCUGGUAGCGGGGGAUAACUAUUGGAAACGAUAGCUAAUACCGCAUAACAGUAGAUGUUGCAUGACAUUUGCUUAAAAGGUGCAAUUGCAUCACUACCAGAUGGACCUGCGUUGUAUUAGCUAGUUGGUGGGGUAACGGCUCACCAAGGCGACGAUACAUAGCCGACCUGAGAGGGUGAUCGGCCACACUGGGACUGAGACACGGCCCAGACUCCUACGGGAGGCAGCAGUAGGGAAUCUUCGGCAAUGGACGGAAGUCUGACCGAGCAACGCCGCGUGAGUGAAGAAGGUUUUCGGAUCGUAAAGCUCUGUUGUAAGAGAAGAACGAGUGUGAGAGUGGAAAGUUCACACAGUGACG
rnacentral:rRNA from 1 species